rnacentral:rRNA from 1 species
GGGGAAUAUUGCACAAUGGGGGAAACCCUGAUGCAGCGACGCCGCGUGAGUGAAGAAGUAUUUCGGUAUGUAAAGCUCUAUCAGCAGGGAAGAAAAUGACGGUACCUGACUAAGAAGCCCCGGCUAACUACGUGCCAGCAGCCGCGGUAAUACGUAGGUGGCGAGCGUUAUCCGGAAUGAUUGGGCGUAAAGGGUGCGUAGGUGGCAGAACAAGUCUGGAGUAAAAGGUAUGGGCUCAACCCGUACUGGCUCUGGAAACUGUUCGGCUAGAGAACAAAAGAGGACGGCGGAACUCCAUGUGUAGCGGUAAAAUGCGUAGAUAUAUGGAAGAACACCGGUGGCGAAGGCGGCCGUCUGGUCUGUUGCUGACACUGAAGCACGAAAGCGUGGGGAGCAAAUAGGAUUAGAUACCCUAGUAGUCCACGCCGUAAACGAUGAGAACUAGGUGUUGGGGGAAUAACUCAGUGCCGCAGUUAACGCAAUAAGUUCUCCGCCUGGGGAGUAUGCACGCAAGUGUGAAACUCAAAGGAAUUGACGGGGGCCCGCACAAGCAGCGGAGCAUGUGGUUUAAUUCGACGCAACGCGAAGAACCUUACCAGGACUUGACAUCUGAUUAAACUUGUGGAAACACGAGGUCCCUUCGGGGGAAUCAAGACAGGUGGUGCAUGGUUGUCGUCAGCUCGUGUCGUGAGAUGUUGGGUUAAGUCCCGCAACGAGCGCAACCCUUAUUUCCAGUUACUAACAGGCAGUGCUGAGGACUCUGGAGAGACCGCCGGGGACAACUCGGAGGAAGGUGGGGACGACGUCAAAUCAUCAUGCCCCUUAUGUUCUGGGCUACACACGUGCUACAAUGGUGACUACAAAGAGAAGCGAAAUCGUAAGGUAGAGCGGAUCUCAAAAAAGUCAUCUCAGUUCGGAUUGUGGGCUGCAACCCGCCCACAUGAAGUCGGAGUUGCUAGUAAUCGCGGAUCAGCAUGCCGCGGUGAAUACGUUCCCG